CUGAAGAACGCAGUGGUUUCACAUUUUACAGGCAGAGGUUGCUGCUUGGUCCAGACCAGAGUGCUGUAAUGAGAGUGGCGACACUCCCGUAGACUUCUAUAGAAAGAAUGGAAUGCGGAAGUCACGUGGUCCAUGGAGCUGCAGAAAGUUCAAAAUGGCCGUUGCUCCAGCACUGUACGCAGUUCAUUUUCGGUCUUUUGGAGGCUUUUUUGCCGGGGACUGAUCUUCAGAGGUGAUCUGAGUGAAGACCAGGCUCGUGGAACUUGACGGUCCUGUCAGUGAUGGAGUGAUGAGGAUGCUGAGUAUCUGUGGCAUUUGGAAGCUCCAUGAAGGAUGCACUGGACCUGGUUCGGAAAAGCUUCUCAAUUUUCUGGACCAGACUGAAGGCUUCGUGUGAUGGACGACAGAGCACACCCGGUUUGAAUUCCUUCAAUGUCAGUAAUGCAUCAUGCUCUCCUUCCAGACUUUCAUCAUUUUGCACAAUCGCACUUUGGCAAACAUCACAGAUGUCGCAAAGUUUGAUGACUUUAUUUACAAUGUAUCCUGCAAGAUAGUAGAGAGUACAGGUUUCACUCUUUGAGAGAUCUGGAGUAUCUUUGUGGCCAGUCAGCUGGUCCACUCUCAGGCCAGGUCUGGGAGUUGUCUCCUUGUUGUCCAGGAACUCUGCCAAAAGACUGUUGUCAUCCUCCUGAUAGUUUCCUGAUUUGACUGUCACAAGAAACUGCCCAACUGAUAUUGAUCUGAGAGCCUGGUGGAACUCCACUGGUGUUGGGACAGGAUUCCUCUGCCUAAUGCAGCUGAACAAGUUUUCAAGACAGUCUUGGGUUUCCAGCUACCUGUUGGACCAAUCUUUAGACCACGGAAGAGUUGGAUCAUGUUGUGGAGAAACUCGAUGGCUUUGUGGUACUGUUCCAUCUUGUGCCUGCUCAGCGCCAUUACUGGGUGUCGGGAAGACAUGAUAUCGAACCAGUGGUUGACCUGCUCCAGAAACCAUGCUGUUGUCAGGUUAGAGGUAGGUCGCUGCUCCUUCUCCACCAUGUAUUUCAGACCUGCACUCGCUGACAUGCUGAAAACAUUCAUUGCAGGCCCCACCUUCAUUUUCUCAAAAUGACUGGGUUGAAGGGUUUUCUGACACAGAUUUGGAGCAAUUUUUAAUGGUGUUCCUUCUUGAAAAUCCACCAGAUCUUUCAAGGGUCUAAUGGAAACUUCGUUGUGAGGGAGACUCUCUUUUUCAACUAUCUCAGGUGGAAUUUUAAAUGUCUGUCCACGCACUAGUGCACUCUUCAAAUUUUUUACCAGAUGUGGGACAUCUGGCAUAAAGUACAGCCUCCUGUCUGGUCUCGCUGGGUGUGGGAUGGAUGUUUGGUUGUGGUCCACUCCAAAUGACCUCCACAUAGCCCGAUUAGGACUGCCCAUGUCAGUGGUGACAUUUACCACAUGAAGCCCUAUGGAAGCUGCUCUCUCGAUGAUUUCGGUGAUGACAGGCUUGUAGCUUGCCCCAUUGGUGGAAUUCCCACUGAAAUGGUAAGCGACUACUUGCUUCCAUCUCAGUGUGCUUCCUGCCAACAUGAAAACACAUGCAUGUGUUGCUGCUCCUGUAUGCCCAGGCAGUGUCACAUCCCCGAAAAGCUUCCCGGUUCCAAGGUGCAGCUCCACACCUGGUGUGAUGGCCAUCUCAUCUACAGUCAGCACACAUUCCUUCUCCAAAGCUCCAAGACUGUUUACCUUCAGCUCAAGCAUCUCAAAAACCUCUUCUAGCACACCUGGUUGCAGUUUGAUGUGUUCCAGUCUUCUUUGCAAGGUUCGGAUAUCAGGUUUUGGAUGCUGAUUUCCUCCUCAAAUGAUUUUUCACUGGUUCCUGUCACUGUUGACCCCUGCACACUGGAUCCUGGCUCAUUUGUAUCUGGACCCUUCCUUCUCCUUGGCGCUCGGCGGUGGACAAAAAGAGUUGGAACAGCAUCAGGCUUCAGUCUCACUUUGCCCGUCUUUGUCCUGUUAAACUGAUCUCCCUCAAAAUGUGCCUGCAGAGUAUCUCAUUAGUUUAAUUUCCAUACAUGUUGCAUUUUUAUUGAAGCAUAUGACAGAACAACAUGUUAAACCCUGAUUUAGAAUCUUUGUGUGUGCAGUAUAAACUUACCGCACACAGUUUUCUGUUAUUAUGAUCUCUGGAGAUGGAGAGAUUGCUCCUACUGACUUGGACUAGCCAUUUUUUUCUUCUCUCUGUGUCUUUAGGGAAGCCAUACAUUCUGGUCCCUUUUUCAGAGUGGCUGGUGCACCCAAAUGCAGCACAGCCUACCAUGAGUCCACUGAUGUUUCGAAGAGAUGGUCACUACCAAAUGAAGCAACUGCCAAGUUGAGAAGGAUGAACCCUCAUUGAAUGAACCUUUAAACAAUUAAUUGUUGCAGAUUCAACUAUUAAACAUUACAAGUAUUAGUAAAAGUACUUCUUUAUUUCUGCAUUUAUUACACUUUCAAUAAUAACAUUGUUUAAUAAAAAUAUUUUGUUAAAAAGCUGUUUUUGAACAUGGAUACUUGUUAGCUAAUAUUAUAAAAGGGUCAGUGAAUUAACAUUUAGUGGAGUCAGAUCAGUGCCAUUUUACGGUAGUUUUCUGGUUAGAAAUACAAUAUACAUGGAUACAGAUGCAUGUAUUAAGCUCAUAUGACAGGAAAAUAUGAUCAGAUAUGAUAAUAGAAUAGUAAUGUUUGUUAUAGGAAAUAAUUCAUCUAAAGACACCAGUUAGCAUCUACAGCUACAUUUUAUCCUUCAAACCUGCUUGAAAUUAUUCAUUUAACAUUGCCAUGAGUACAUUUUCCACCUGAUACCAGGCAGAGAAAACAAACUGAAUGAGAUCUUCCACAGUUUUGAUUGAGGCUUUGUUGAAGGACGUUGAUGUGAAGGUAAGAAGAAGCAGAACAUGUAAUCUCUUCCACGCUGUGUAAGAGGAUGAGAUUUAGCAUCCCCAUGCUAGCAUAAACAAAAAAAAACAGACAUAUCAAUUCAUUACAUGCACAUUUAAACUGAUUUAGAUUUUUAUUGAUUAGUAGCUCACCGUACAUGAGCUCAGGUUUUUUAUUCAUCACUAAGUAUCUUUAAAUGAAGGCUAUUCGUAAUACAGAUCUUCCCUCCUAGAUCUACAAUUUGUGAUAAAUGUGUCUCUGCUCCUUCCAAAAGUAAGCUUUGGAUAAAAUACGGAUUAAUAACGUAAUCACUAAACAUAAUCAGUAAAUAUUUACCGAAAAUGACGAAUAAAAUUGUAAUGUCCGCGUUGCCUCCCGCCAGAAUCCGCUGAACCCAACGAAGAACGCUGUGCUGUAUUGAACUAUUCAGAGCUCCAUGAACCACGUGACCUCCUGUCGGCGAUUUCAAAGAGUGUCGCCACUCUCAUUACAGCACUCUGGAGCGACCAGC